UCCUGGUGGCUCAGACGGUAGAGUCUGCUUACAGUGCAGGAGACCCAGGUUCGAUUCCUGGGUCAGGAA
rnacentral:tRNA from 1 species